CCUCAACCAACUUUGCUUCUCAUUCUACUUUCCUUUAUGUAUUAGAAAUUCUGAGCACAAGUUGGAAUGCCAUUUGGCCUGAAUUUGUGGGAGGAGUUAUGACCCCUAUUUAAACUCUUUCUUCCUACUAACCUUUGUCGUGCAAGCUGUUUGUCCCCACCCACCUACACCCAUCUAUAUUUACAAUUCACCUUUGUGGGCCCUCUUUUAUUACAGGCCUACUCGUACAUUGGUUUCGGCACACCUCAACCAACUUUGCUUCUCAUUCUACUUUCCUUUACGUAUUAGAAAUUCCGAGCACAA